UACGAAGGGGGCUAGCGUUGCUCGGAAUGACUGGGCGUAAAGAGCUUGUAGGCGGUUUGUCGCGUCUGCUGUGAAAAUCCGAGGCUCAACCUGCGGACUGCAUUGGAUACUGCGAUGCUAGAGGACUGGAGAGGAGAAUGGAAAUUCACGGUGGAGCAGUGAAAAUGCGUAGAUAUCGUGAGGAAGGCCAGUGGCGAAAGGCGAUUCUCUGGACAGUAUCUG
rnacentral:rRNA from 1 species